UGCCCGCGGCCUGUUGACCUCAGAGCCCCUUCUCCAGGCCAGCAACCAUCUCCCUUGUCGUCGUCGGAUUCCGAUGAGAGCGGGGAAGCCGGAAGCUCCCGCACCACGGCGCUGAAAGCCCCUACAGUGGUCGUAAACCACCUGAAUCCCUCGCCGGACUCCAGAGAGGUUCGCGAAUCCGACAUUGGAAGAGGCCAGAAGAAAGCCGACCGCUCCUCAUGCGGCUCCAAUACUCCUUCCAGCAGUGAUGUGGAGACAGACGUCGUAUUGAACCUCGACAAGGCCAUGGAGGAGCCGAAAGAAACCCAUCUGGGUCAUCUUCCUUCCGGCGGGGACGCCAGCAACCGUAGGCUGAGGGGCGGCGGCAGUGUGGGUGAAUCUUGGAAAGAAGUCUCCCAAGAGG
rnacentral:lncRNA from 1 species